CAAAUACAAAAGCACAGCGACAGAGUCUACAUGCUGCAUACAGGUGGCCAUGCAGCACCUCCGCCAGCACAAGCUGUUCACCAUUCUUUAUAUAACAUCAUCAAAGUCCAUGAAAACAACACCCAUCAUUAGAACAGAGACAAAAAAAGCUGUGCCACGAUGAAGAUCCUGGGAGGCGAUGACAGCAUGAGAGCCACAACGGCCUGUCGGAGACAUGAAGGUGGAAAAUAACUCACUGGCUUUAUGGCUCAAUCACACAUAAUCAGUUUGUCCACAUCAGGACACUGCAGGCUCAGUUCCCAGGCCUGAGGGAGAAAAUAUUGACCUUUCUCCCUAAUACAUACAUUUACCUUUUGAGUAGAGGGG